GCGCGCCCCGCCCGCUCCUGCGCCACCGCCCCUCGCGCCGCCCGCCCGGCAGCUCGCACACCCCGCGCCACCGCCGCCGCUGCCGCCGCCGCCGCCGCCGCCGCAGCCGCGUUAUUAGAGCUCCACGGCGGAUCUCGGGGCUCUUCUGCUCGCUUUUUUUCCUCUUCAGAAAUUAAAGCAGAGGAGCAUCUGAAAGUGGAAAGGUCCCCCUUCUGAAAUCAUUCAGAAAGGGAAAAAUGUACAAACACCACGUUUUUACAAUACUUUCCUUUCGUGUGGUAGCCAUAUGUGUGCAGAAUACUAUGGUGCCAGACACCAAAAAUGUAAACUGUCCAGUUCACCUGAUGGAGACUACGCAGAUGCUAAAGAAGGAAAACCGAGAUUUGUCUUUCUUUGGACGAUGCGAAAAAGCAUAAUUAACUACUGCAAAAAGAAACACUUUCAAUAACGCUUUUGGUGUGGACUUCAUUAAAGUUUUACUUUUUCUUGAAAGCUACCCUUGACCCCCCACUUUUUUUGCUUUCUACCCCCACUCAGCCCCCCACCAUCAGCCUUCAUGUUUCUAGAGGACCCAGAUAAAGUAUGUGUAUUUACUGUGGUGUGGCAGGCAGCUUGUAAGAUGGCGCCCAUGACCCCUGCUCUGGUCUUCAUGCUGCUGUGUCAUCCCAACUCCUGAGUGUCAUCUGCACCUAGUGAA
rnacentral:lncRNA from 1 species